rnacentral:lncRNA from 1 species
ACAUAGUAAACUUUGCAAUGCAAUUGAAGUUGAAUUAUAGAAAAGUUUGGGCCCUCCACCUCACAUUGAUGGUUACAUUGACCCCUUUGGUUCCCCAUGCACCAUUUCUUUUCAUCAUUCUUUCAAAAGCCUACCAAAUUACUCCUUCAUAGCACAUCCACCUGUAAACCAUAUUCAAGAGAAUGCUAUACAUCAUGCAUACCUCCC